AGUGGCGGACGGGUGAGUAACGCGUGAGAAUCUGCCUUGGGGUCGGGGACAACCACUGGAAACGGUGGCUAAUACCGGAUAAGCCGAUUGGUGAAAGAUUUAUUGCCCGAAGAGGAGCUCGCGUCUGAUUAGCUAGUUGUGAGGUAAGAGCUCACCAAGGCAGCGAUCAGUAGCUGGUCUGAGAGGACGAUCAGCCACACUGGGACUGAGACACGGCCCAGACUCCUACGGGAGGCAGCAGUGGGGAAUUUUCCGCAAUGGGCGAAAGCCUGACGGAGCAAGACCGCGUGAGGGAGGAAGGCUCUUGGGUUGUAAACCUCUUUUCUCAGGGAAGAAGCUCUGACGGUACCUGAGGAAUCAGCCUCGGCUAACUCCGUGCCAGCAGCCGCGGUAAUACGGAGGAGGCAAGCGUUAUCCGGAAUUAUUGGGCGUAAAGCGUCCGCAGGUGGCGAUUCAAGUCUGCUGUCAAAGCACGGGGCUUAACUCCGUAAAGGCAGUGGAAACUGAAUAGCUAGAGUGCCGUAGGGGUAGAGGGAAUUCCCGGUGUAGCGGUGAAAUGCGUAGAGAUCGGGAAGAACAUCGGUGGCGAAAGCGCUCUACUGGACGGCAACUGACACUCAGGGACGAAAGCUAGGGGAGCGAAUGGGAUUAGAUACCCC
rnacentral:rRNA from 1 species